rnacentral:hammerhead_ribozyme from 1 species
GUACUGCUGAAGAGUCCCAAAACUAAGACGAAACAGCUGUCCAUUAC